rnacentral:rRNA from 1 species
ACAGAGGAUGCAAGCGUUAUCCGGAAUGAUUGGGCGUAAAGCGUCUGUAGGUGGAUUAAAAAGUACAUUGUUAAAGAUUAGGGCUUAACCUUAAAAAAGCAGAGUAUACUUUUAAUCUAGAGUUUGGUAGAGGCAAAGGGAAUUUCCGGUGGAGUGGUGAAAUACGAAGAUAUCGGGAGGAACACCAAAGGCGAAAGCACUUUGCUGGAACAAUACUGACACUGAGAGACGAAAGCGAGGGGAGCAAAUGG